rnacentral:tRNA from 1 species
GGCGAGGUGGCCGAGUGGUUAAGGCGAUGGACUCGAAAUCCAUUGUGCUCUGCAUGAGUGGGUCCCACCCUCGACG